rnacentral:rRNA from 1 species
GAUGAACGCUAGCGGCAGGCCUAAUACAUGCAAGUCGAACGGUGUCUUCGGACAUAGUGGCGCACGGGUGCGUAACACGUAUGCAACCUACCUUACAUUGGGGGAUAGCCUUUCGAAAGGGAGAUUAAUACCGCAUAAGACAGUAGCUGGGCAUCCAGCGGCUGUUAAAGAUUUAUCGAUGUAAGCUGGGCAUGCGUCCAAUUAGCUAGUUGGUGAGGUAACGGCUCACCAAGGCAAUGACUGGUAGGGGAACUGAGAGGUCAAUCCCCCACACGGGCACUGAGAUACGGGCCAGACUCCUACGGGAGGCAGCAGUAGGGAAUAUUGGGCAAUGGACGCAAGUCUGACCCAGCCAUGCCGCGUGCAGGAUGGAGGCGUUAUGCGUUGUAAACUGCUUUUAUACAGGAAGAAACGACUCUUGCGAGAGGCAUUGACGGUACUGUAUGAAUAAGCACCGGCUAACUCCGUGCCAGCAGCCGCCGUAACAC